AUGAAUAAGAUGAGAUUUGGUGCAUCCAUAGAGAUUCGGUGCAUGGAUUUGUUGCUGUUGCAGCAGCCUGCAGCUCUGUUGUGUUUGCUGCUGGGUCCGAAGUGCCCUGUGGUGUUAAAUUCAGAACAGAAGUGCAUGAUCACUGUACCACAGCCACCCAGCUGGCACAAGAUAGGCAAGCAGGGUUUGUUUGUGGCUUGGCUUCGUAUCAUCAUUUUCUGCUUUUCUUCUUUGAUGAUCCAGUUCAUUUUGAAUAAAUGUUUAUUACAUCUGCAGAAACUAGUCACAAGGAUAUUAUUAGAGGACUUGUUAUAUAGUCUUAAUGUGGUGCUUGUACUAAGCCAUUGCUAUGUGUCCUCCAUGUCACAGUUUGCUGGUGGGGCAGAAGCAUAG
rnacentral:rRNA from 1 species